CUUUCAAAGACACGGAACUGGGCGGUUGCACUGAAGACAUUAAUUGUCAUACAUCGUGCCCUUCGAGAAGUUGACCCCACGUUUCGUGAAGAGCUUAU
rnacentral:pre_miRNA from 1 species